rnacentral:lncRNA from 1 species
GAGGGACUUCGUUCCGUUCGGGCCCGGUUCGGGAUAGGGGGGGUCGCAGCGCCGCUCGGCUGUCGGGGUUCCGUCGCGGUGCUGCGAAAGGGGUUUGGGCGCAGCCGCUCCGACGCCGAUCGUUGGACGUAACCACCGGCCACAUUCAGGUGCACGGCGUAUGCACGGGGAAAGCCUUUCCGAAAUCCUUCCCGUGAGCAACACGAUGGAAAGCUGCAGAUUUGGGGCAGUCGCUCUUUGCCGUGCGUUCCCAGGGAAAAGCUAUUGGGAUGUUUGUUUUGUUUCCCUUCGUUCCUCUUUGAGUGUUUGCAUUUGGGGGGUUUGUUCGUUUGUUUCCGGACUGCGAAACGGGAUCCGGUGAUGGCACCCCGGGGAGAAGGAGCCGCCGUAGGGGAGGCGUGAAAUGCACUAUAGGGUUUCACCUAUCCCCUGCGCGCGGUGUGUGCCCCGUUUCAAUAGCGGAUGGGCUGCUUCGUCGGGGAAGGGCUGAGUACUAAACGCACUCAGAGAUGAGUUACCCCACGUAGCGUUACCGGCGAUUAAAUUGUUUACAUCUCUUUCGAAGCGCGAGGGAGUGUCAGGUCGAUAAUCGAUUAAAGGAAAAACAAAACAAAACAAAACCAAAAACAGCCACCACGGUGGAAGGGUUGUGCCCUACACCCCGAUAAAAUCCCGCUGCGGAUCGGUGGGGCUGCGGAGAGCUCCCGGUGCCGCGGGGUUCUCUCUCUGCGUUCUCCGUCCGGGACGCAAUCACCGCACCGCGGGCUGAAGCCCGUCUGAGCUGCCGGGCCCCGCCGCAACCGAAUCCGAAGGAAAUCACAUGUGCUAGAGGGGUCGGAGCGUGUUAAGCUCGAGGAUCCCGCAGGAGCUGAACCGCCCUCGCGCUGGGGCUGGGAUCGAUAGUGGGAGGUAGGAAGGAAAUGGCUCCGGGCUGCCCCAGGGCGCUCCGCGAGCCGCCCGCCCGUCCAGCUCCGACGGCGCCUUCCGCGGCUCCGCUCCUCCGCUGCUGCAGCACCGGCGGGGCCAGUGGAGCAGUGGAAAGUGCACAAAAUAGUGGAAUCCUCUCUUUCCAACAGGUUUCAAAUAGAAGGAGAUUUCUAUGUGCUCAUCCCAUCCCCCGCAUGAAAUCAGUAGUCUUGAGCAGUUCCAGAAUCCUUUUCUGA